rnacentral:tRNA from 1 species
AGGUAAGAUGGCUGAAUGUCCAAGUGUUAGGCUGUAGACCUUUUUACAGGGGUUUAAUUCCCUUUCUUAUC